ensembl:lncRNA
AAGCUCUGAGACGGUCAUCUUCCCGCAGUGAGAACAUGACUCAUCCACGAAAGCCACCUCAGCGUGCUUAACGCCCAGACACGUGAGGCAGCGAUCCCGGUGCCAGGUAACAACCGCAUCCAGAAACGCACAGGUGAAACGGCAUCCUUAUAAGGACGAUCCGUCGUCUUUAUAAAGACGCACCCGUGGAGCUCUUUUAGAGGAAAUUCGCUCUCAGGAAAUGCUCUUUUGGUGCUGAGGCGCACAGGGGAGCUGGCCGCUUGCAACACGACAGGGGGUAGUGCAGCCUGAAGUGUCCAAUCCACUCGAUGCUGGAACGACCGCCGCUGAAACACUGUCUCGCCAACACAGAAAGCUUUCCAGAGCGUGCUGAACUCGCAGUUCACCGUCAACAGUUGAGUGACUGCCAUAAAGC